GUCAACCUGUCCAGGGGACGUGGAUAACCUCGGGAAACUGAGAUUAAACCGCGAUAGGUCAAGAUUUCUGGAAUGGAUCCUGGCUUAAAUCUACAUGGCCCCUGGAUUGGACUGCGGCCGAUCAGGCUGUUGGUGAGGUAAUGGCCCACCAAACCUAUAACCGGUACGGGCUCUGAGAGGAGAAGCCCGGAGAUGGGCACUGAGACAAGGGCCCAGGCCCUAUGGGGCGCAGCAGGCGCGAAAACUCUGCAAUGGGCGAAAGCCUGACAGGGUUACUCUGAGUGAUUUCCGCUAAGGAGAUCUUUUGGCAGCUCUAAAAAUGGUGCAGAAUAAGGGGUGGGCAAGUCUGGUGUCAGCCGCCGCGGUAAUACCAGCACCCCGAGUGGUCGGGACGAUUAUUGGGCCUAAAGCAUCCGUAGCCGGUUGUGCAAGUCCUCCGUUAAAUCCAGCCGCUCAACGGAUGGGCUGCGGAGGAUACUACAGAACUAGGAGGCGGGAGAGGCAAGCGGUACUUAGUGGGUAGGGGUAAAAUCCUUUGAUCCAUUGAAGA
rnacentral:rRNA from 1 species